rnacentral:rRNA from 1 species
UACAGAGGUCUCAAGCGUUGUUCGGAUUCAUUGGGCGUAAAGGGUGUGUAGGUGGCGCCGUAAGUCGGGGUGUGAAAUUUCGGAGCUUAACUCCGAAACUGCAUUCGAUACUGCGGUGCUUGAGGACUGGAGAGGAGACUGGAAUUUAUGGUGUAGCAGUGAAAUGCGUAGAUAUCGUAAGGAAGACCAGUGGCGAAGGCGGGUCUCUGGACAGUUCCUGACGCUGAGGCAACGGAAGGUCCAGGGGAGCAAACGGGAU